rnacentral:lncRNA from 1 species
AAAACAACAAACUUAAAAUAACAUUUAAAAGUAUCUAAAUCAUAAAUUAAACACUUAUAAAGUCUUUUAAAAUUCGUUUCAAAAUUUCAAAAAGUUCAUAAAUGUCCAAAGAUCUAAACUAGGGAGUGAGAUCUACAUAAUCAUCAUCAUCACUCUCGUCGUCGGUGUCAUCGGGAGCAGAAGUAGUAGGUUGACGAGCGAGGUUCAUCACUUGUUCUUUGAUUUGC